GAGCUUGCUCCCUGAUGUUAGCGGCGGACGGGUGAGUAACACGUGGGUAACCUGCCUGUAAGACUGGGAUAACUCCGGGAAACCGGGGCUAAUACCGGAUGCUUGAUUGAACCGCAUGGUUCAAUUAUAAAAGGUGGCUUUUAGCUACCACUUACAGAUGGACCCGCGGCGCAUUAGCUAGUUGGUGAGGUAACGGCUCACCAAGGCAACGAUGCGUAGCCGACCUGAGAGGGUGAUCGGCCACACUGGGACUGAGACACGGCCCAGACUCCUACGGGAGGCAGCAGUAGGGAAUCUUCCGCAAUGGACGAAAGUCUGACGGAGCAACGCCGCGUGAGUGAUGAAGGUUUUCGGAUCGUAAAACUCUGUUGUUAGGGAAGAACAAGUACCGUUCGAAUAGGGCGGUACCUUGACGGUACCUAACCAGAAAGCCACGGCUAACUACGUGCCAGCAGCCGCGGUAAUACGUAGGUGGCAAGCGUUGUCCGGAAUUAUUGGGCGUAAAGCGCGCGCAGGCGGUUUCUU
rnacentral:rRNA from 1 species